ensembl:lncRNA
GGGAAGGGCAUGUGCAUGUGUAGGGUGACCUGAUAAAUCUCAUUUUAUGGAUAAAGAAACUGGUUCAAAGAAUGAAGGUGACUUGCCUAGGGUCCUGGGUGAGCUGGCCUUGGGUCCCCACUGCCCCCUUAAUUGCAGAACUUGAAUUGCAUCCAGCUGUGGGAGAGAGAGUUCAGUGUGCAUGCUACAGAUCCCAAGUGUGGCAUGUGACUUCUGGCUCACAUGCUUCCUAGAAGAUAUGUGAGAUGGGCAACCAGGUUUUAUGUGCUGAGAAACGUUUAAAUGAGGGAGGCAUGUGAAAAACUGUGUCACUGAGAAGAAUUACAGAAGCAUUCCUGUCAUGAUUUGGAUGUUCGUGGACUAAUUGGUGGGACCGGCUUUAGUGAAAGGGAACGAAGAGUAUCCGACAACUAGAGUAUUGGAAGAGGCUGGAAAAGAAGGCAGACACAAGGCUUCGCUCCCUGAGUUGCUUGGGACCCCUCUUCAGGGUUGUCUCCAGCAGGAAGGCUGGUGGGAACUCAAGGACAGAAGCAGAGGUAACGAGUCAGCUGGUUCUGCAUUUGUCAUCGUUCGCUGUUCCUUCUUUGGAGGGGAGUUAUUUUCCCUGAGCUGAUGCUCCAGAAGUUGAGUUGGUUGUCAGAGUCAUUGUGUAGUGAAGGAUGACUGAGGCAGAAAUGAUGGCAUUAACUUCUGACGUCCAUCAGGCUCAAGGGUGAGAAAUCCUUCACUGCCUUUCCAUAGGUCUUUAGAUGAAACAUGUGGGCUGACUAACCCAGCACCCAAAGCAGGACUGUCUUCCUGCAUGGUGAUCUCCUAAGCAGAGAUACAUGGGUAUUUAGACCUCUGGAGACCUUAAAUGUGCGAUAUUGUCUGUCACUAUAUGGUUUCCCUCUGUGUAAUUAUGGGGAAACUCAGAUAAAUCCUUAUACCCUUCUUACACAUGAUGCUCCCAAAAUGAAAAAUUAGAGCCCAGAUAGCAGAAGCUGCUGGAGACCAGCUGGAAAACCUAAGAGUUGUUUAUGUAAGUACUGUUUCUGCUGCAGCUUCCCCACUGCAUUGAAAGCUUCUUGGUUGGUUUAGCAUGAGAUUAUGACUCAAGUAGUUGUCUGAGCUCACCUACUGGGUGAAUUCAUCCUGGGAAAGUAGCAGAGAAGAUACUAUUAAUACUGCACUUUUCCAAAGAGUGUGCUAGAUGUGCCUGCUAGAUGCUUGCACAAUCUGAUAUGCAUACAAUGUAGAUAUACUAUCUAUUACAGCUGCAGAAACUUAGACCAUGCCAUUCUCCAGGUCACAGAAGAGUGCGUUAGCAGUUCCAGAACUGAUGCUCAAUCAUGUUGAGAUAGCCUUGGAGUGUGUGCUUUCCCAUGUAUCUGCCACCUGCCACCUGCCUGUAAUGAUCAGUUGUGUGCCUGUUCAUCGUUAGUGUUAGAUGUGAACUCUUUUAGAUGUCUUGCUGUAGUGUCUCAUUGGCUCCAGUUGGUUCAGUGCAUACCCAUUGAAAAUUCUCUGUUCCAUGCUUAUUUGCUGCAUUUCCAUUUGGAGGCUAACACCUCUACAUCCUACAAUUAGGUAACCCACUUUAAGGAUGCCCCUGGUUUGGCUUCUACUUUAAUAUUUGAACAAAAACAUGCCCUUUGUCUUAAACAUCUGCUUCCAUCCCUUGGAGGGUAAAGUUGCAUGCUCUCACCUCAUUCAUAUUUUGGUCACUUGAAUUUGUGCACAGUAGUCAUUGUGUUCAUGAUCAGAGAUGUUAACACCAUGUGGUGACUGUCAUAUGAAUGCAAAACAUUAGCAAUAUGACCAAAUAUGUAUUUCAGAGUUGCUGUUGAUAUCCAGAUACAUACUUUCAAAUGUAGGUUUGCAUUUUGCUUGUAAUAUGCAAUAAAAACCUUUUAAAAGUGUUUAUACUCUUUAAUUAAUCAGUUGAAAUAUUAACAAAUAUUAUGAGUAAAGUGUGAUGGUUGUGCAAGCUAUUUUAUGGAUAAGAUACUUUAUCAACAGUUUUGAAAUAGUUAAACAAUUAAAGAAAUUGGUGGUUCAUAUGUAUUUAGACUCACUAAAUCUUAGAGUACAUUAACUCAGUUCCUGGGAAGAACAUUAUAUUCUUUGAAGCCAUCAAGUGAUUAUGAAAUAUGAAUUAGAAUGGCAAUAUUUUUAUGAGAUUAGAUUAUGUUAUGAUUAUAAUUGUUAUAGGACUGCUUGAUGAAAUCAUUUGUAACAUUAAACAGAAUGACCAUUAUGAAGUAGUUUAAAUUUUUAAUUAUUUAAUUUUACCUAAGGCCAUAAAUCUUUCAAGAAAAAGUCUACUUAAGAAUUUCACAUCUAGUGAUUGAAAUGGAAUAGCUUCACUGUUCCUUGGAACUCAGGUCAGGGUCAGAAAACUUUGUUUAUUCUUACAAGAGUUCAGAUGAGGACAGUGAUGGACUUUAGCAGUGGCUUUGACUAAAUACUGAAUUUAACAUUUAGCCAUUUGGUACUGAAUCGAUUCUUAUAGCAAUAGAUCUUUAUUUAUUUAUUUGUUUAUUUAUUUAUUUAUUUAUUGAGACAGGGUUUCUGUGUAACUUUGGAGGCUGUCCUGGAACUUGCUUUGUAGGCCAUGCUGGCCUCAAACUCACAGGGAUCCACCUGCCUAUGCCUCCCUAGUGCUGAGAUUAAAGGCAUGUACUGCCAACGCCCGGCUUAGAUCUUUAUUUGUAUAGGGAGGUGUAAAUGUCACUGGGGGAAAUCAUUCUGUUUAUCGCCUAUCAAUUUACUUGUAAAUGGUUUCCCUCCUCAC